GGAGCAGCGCGCACGCCGGGCGGAGAUGCUGCCGUGGCGGCGGCCGCCGCGCCUCCCCCUCGUCGCCCUCGCAGCGGUCGGAGCAGCAGCCGGGCAAGAUGGCGCAAGGUGGUGGCGGCGGCGCUGGCGGGGCCGGCCUCCCCAGCGCGGGGAGCAGCGCCUAGCGCGGCCUGCCCUGCCGUGAGCCCCGCCAGCCUCGGCGGCGGCGGCGGCGGCGGCGCUCCGGGCGCACGUGCGCUCCCUCCUGCCUCCGCGCCCUGCCCCGCCGGAGCCAAUGGCCGCCCCCGGCCGCGCACUCUCGCCCCUCCGCUCGCUCGCCGCCGCCCUCCUGCUCUUCCUCGCCGGCGCAGAGCUGGGCCGUUCCGCAGAGCUUGCGUUCACCAUGGAGCCCAGCGACCACAUUGCUGUUCAGAAACAGCCACUGGCGUUGCAUUGCCAAGUGGAAGGGCUCCAACCCAUCAGCAUCACCUGGCGGAAGAAUGGGGCCUUGAUGGCGGACGACGAGAACGCCUUCACCCUCGCCAACGGCUCGCUCUACUUCUCGCACUUCCAGAAACUCAGGGGCGACGGGUCUUCCGACGAAGGCGAGUACGACUGCUUGGCCCGGAACCGCUUUGGCUUGGUGGUCAGCCGGAAGGCCAGGAUCCAAGCCGCAACAAUGUCUGACUUCCACAUCCACCCCCAGAGCACGGUGGUAGAAGAAGGAGGGGUUGCCAGAUUCCAGUGCCAGAUCCACGGCCUGCCGGAGCCAGUGAUCUUAUGGCAGAAGAAUCGUGUCCCCAUCAAUACCGAUAAUGACAGGUACACGCUGCUCCCCAAGGGGGUCUUGCAGAUUACCGGACUGCGAGCUGAAGAUGCUGGGAUCUUCCAUUGUGUCGCUACCAACAUUGCCAGUGUGAAGAAUAGCAGGGAAGCCAGGCUCACCGUAUCGGGCUCCCACUCUGCUGUGUACAAAGAUCCCAUGAUUCUUGUGGGGCCAGAGAACCUGACCUUGACUGUCCACCAGACGGCCGUCCUGGAGUGUAUCGCCACUGGAAACCCCAGGCCGAUCGUCUCCUGGAGCCGACUCGAUGGCCGCCCAAUCGGCGUUGAAGGAAUUCAGGUCCUCGGGACGGGUAACCUGAUGAUCUCGGACCUCACGGUGCAGCAUUCCGGGAUCUACGUCUGUGCAGCUAACAAGCCUGGCACAAGAGUGAGGAGAACCGCCCAAGGGAGGCUGGUGGUGCAAGCCCCGGCAGAAUUCGUGCAGCACCCUCAGUCGAUUUCCCGUCCCGUGGGGACCACGGCCAUCUUUACCUGCUUGGCCCAGGGUGAGCCUCCCCCACAGAUAACGUGGCUGAAGAACGGGCAGAUUUUGGAACCUACAGACCACGUCAAGUUGAAGAACAACAACAGCACGCUCACCAUCUACGGCAUCAGCCAGGCGGACGAGGCCAUCUACCAGUGCAUCGCGGAGAACAGUGCUGGCUCAACCCAGGCCAGUGCCCGGCUGACGGUGCUUUGGGCUGACGGGCUGCCCGGCCCCCCUCAGAAAGUGAAAGCGGUCACCGUCACGGCCACAACCAUCCAGGUGUUGUGGAGUGAGCCCCUGCAGAACACCCAGGAGAUCAUCGGCUACGUGCUGCACAUCAGGAGAGCGGCAGAUCCGGUGGAGAUGGAAUAUCAAGAGGCCGUCAGCAAAAACACCUUCCAGCAGCUAGUGACAGACCUGGAGCCCUCCACAAGCUACAGCUUCUACAUCAAGGCGUAUACCUCUCGGGGGGCCAGCAAAGCUUCUGAAGUGGUGGUGGUGAACACCUUGGGGGAAGUGCCAGCAAUGCCGUCCCUCUACAUCAAAGUCCUCAACAGCACCGCCGUUCAGGCCACGUGGGAGCCCUCCAUCAAACUGGGCCAGCACGAAGGCUUCAAGCUGUACUACCGCAAGGUCCACCUCUCCCACUUCACCGGCCCCGUCCUGUUGCCCAGCAAUGUCACGUCGUACAACAUUACCCAUCUGGACCCGUCGGUAGUGUAUGAAGUCAAACUCCUUGCCUACAACCAGCAUGGCGAUGGGAACUCCACUGUCCGGUUUGUGUCCUUGAGAGAGACCGUCGAAAGAGCAGGGUCGAACCCGCCGUGCGACUGCAUGAAAGAGGAACAAUCCAAGAAGACGUCUGCCACCGGGAUCAUCGUCGGCAUCCACAUUGGGGUCACCUGCAUCAUCUUCUGCGUCCUCUUCCUCAUGUUUGGGUACAGAGGACGACUGCUGAUGUGCAAAAAUGCCCAGGAGCAACUGUCGACCCCGCAGAUCCCCAGAAGCCAGAGGAACGCGCCAGGCCUGGCCCUGAAUGGAUCUGCUCGGAGGGAGAGGGGUGAUUCCGACGGGUACGGGAAGCAGCUGGAUAUGAACGAGCUGGAAAGGUUGUUCCCGGCAUCACCUUCCCCACCGGACCAACACAAUAAGGGGACCGCGCCGGAUCCUGUUCCUCCUACCUCGCACGAUGAAACCCAGAUCUCCACGCUGCCACCCGAUGAAUUCAGCAUCGUAGAGGAGCAAAGCAAUGCCCUCUUCCAAGACCUGCCCGCCGGCACCCACAACAACAGGUCUUUGCUCAGCCCCAGCCCAGAAGAACCAGCUCCAACCAAUGAAGGAUGAUUGCCAAGUCCUGUGAGCUUCUUAGAGGACUAGAUGGCCGCCACGUCCCAUGUCUGGCAUUGCCUUUCCAAUGACUUCUCAAUCUCAGACAGCCUUGUGGAAGCUCCAUGAAGUUUAUCCUUCUGACCUGUCUCAGGCCUCUUGGUACAUUCCUUUCGACCUGGAUCUCGGCUGUUGGGUCGGUGGCUCCUCAAGAAGACCCCUUUGGCGAUUCCUCAAAAUCCAUUGACACCAAAUGCAAUGGGAACCUUUCAUGGUCUUGGUUCUCUUGUUGGCAGCUUUAGGACGAUUACUCCGUGGAUCCAGUUUGGUAACACAUGGAGACAACCGAUUUUGACAGUCCAGUCUCACUUGGCUCCAGAAAGAAGUCAAGGUUGGCCAAACCUCUCCAUGAAUUUGAUGACCUUUCGGUCACCUAUGUCUAGCUCUUAAUUCUCAGGAUGUUUUGUUGCCGAUAAACUAUUUUAACGGCAAAGCGAGUGUGUCAAAAGAAGAAGAAAAGGCCUGAAAGAAGGCUACUGGAAAAAAAGAAGAAGAAAAGAAAAGACUUGGACUAACAUACCGAGUAAACUCAGAACCUACCUCAACCGGAAUUGAAUGUCUUCUGGGAAGAAGCAAAUAUCUUGUGUCUUCCUUUGGUUUCCCAAGCAAGUAGUGUAGCACUUGGUCAGUAGGUGUGUCGGUUCUACCUCAGAAGUCAUACUCCAUGUCACCAUGUUGGUUGUUGGGUUUUUUUAAAAAAAAAGUAUUCCUUUCUCGUCAUUGUCGUUCCAAUGUAAAGCACUUCCAAAACCUUGAAAGCAAUGUUCUACCUCAAGAAGUUUUUUAUAGAAGAACGGUGUGUUGUGUGUGUCGUCGGACCUCCGUGCCCUUCACCUCUCCGUGUUCUGCUCCGUUCCAGUGUUCCAAAAGAGUUGUGUCAAAGAGCAGUGUGGGUUCAUGUCUGGUUGUGGUCUUUGAUGACUCUUCCCCUUAGUGUUAUAAGCUUUACUUUUAGGCAAGUUGCUAGUUAACUUGCGUAUAGAGUUUUCCUGCGUCAAGAGUCAUUUUAUAUCAUGUUUUUUUAAAAACAACUUUACAGAUCGUUAGGAUUAUAGCAAAAGGUAUGCCACCAGUCACCUAAAGAGAAAUGUUGCCAGUGGACCUUGUGGGGAGUGGGAAGUCAGGUCAUAUGUUACUACUGAGAGCUGGUUCACAUGGGUAUGUCCAUCAACUGCAGUAUUAAGUGAUGGUUAUAUGUCUGAAAGGACCAUUGCAGAUUUGAUAUCCGAACCAUCUUGUACACACAGUGCAUGUACAUUUAGCCCACAGGCAUCAAAUGCCUUUUACCAAGUCAGUUUGUUGGCCUAGCUAACUCUGCAUUUAUUGGCAGUGUCUCUAGCAGAGAUAUUUCCCUGAUUCCAGAGGCGGUUUAACUGGAAAUGCCAAGAAUUGAACCUGCAACCUUCUGCUUGCAAAGCAAGGGCUAUGGUGUUUCUACUAAACAGCUUAUGGAAGAGGGUCCUAUUGUCUCCGUGGAACCUACUUUCAAGUAAGACUCCUUAAAUUUAGCCAUGAUCCCUCCCCUGCUGUGGGUUAAUCUAGCCAAGUAUUAGGUGGGUUCAGACAUCACAUGAAACCAUGGCUAUUUAACAAACCACAGUCUAUUUAACAAACUUGGGUUGGAGCCCAAGGCGACUGCCAAAUGUUGGUUUGUUUCUCCAUAUUGUAGUUUGUCAGAGUCCCCCUACUUCUUUAUUUCCAUGAGUUGGCUUGCUUCUCCAUCUUCGAGAAACCUGCAAGGGGUAGAGCUACUGAAAUAAACCCCAACUACAGGUUCAGAUAUCUUGCAAGAUCAUGGUUAAGACAAAAAACCCCAGCCUCAAACCUUGGUUUCAGAGUGUGCGUGGUGUGACAACAAAUCGUGGUUUGUUGUCUGGUGGAGGUUCAGACAUUAAACUAACCGUGGUUGGACAAAAUAAACCAUGGUCCUGCAUGAUGGCUGAACCUGCCCACAUUCUACUCUAACUGGCAGCAGCUCAAAGGCCUGAGGCCUUUUUAACUGGAGAUUCCAGGAGCUGAAUUUGGACUUUUAUCCCCUGUCCGUGAGCCUUUUAUACACACCCCAAAUAUGGAACACUCUACAGAUGCAUGUGUCAUCCCCGUGCCGGAGUUAUGCACAUUUCUGUGUCCCAGUUUGGGUAUAUGCGCCAUCAAAGUGGUGUACAUGUCUGUGUGAACCAGACCCUAGUCAGACCUGUUUUUCUGAGAGUGGAUGCUUCCCGUUGAGUCUCUGGGUGCUUGUAGCCGCUGGUAUGAUUGCUCAGCGGUUGUAGACCUCCCAUGCGAAGCCUUAGAAUUUAGCGUGUUUUUUAAUAGGCUGGUGACCUACCUCAGUACAAGCAGUUAGGCAGCCAGAAAAGGAUGAGUAACCUCUCCGAUACGGUCAUUGGUGGGAGGAAAAUUGAGCAGGGGGAAAAAAGUUACCCCAGGCCACUGAUGUGAUGUGGGCGAAAAAACUCGUCAGAGCAUUCAUGGAGCUCCUCUUUCAAAAGGAGCCCAUUUGUUCCCUGCCUUCCUCCACAUGUGCAGGAGCUCUGUGGAACACGCUCCUAGCCUCCAGAGCUACCAUUUCAUUUCCAUGUGCUCUUUUUAAGUUUAAUUCCUAUAGCUAUUUUUAUACAUGGUGAUUAAUCUAGAAAUGUUCUUUAAAAAAUUGAUUUUGUUUUAAUGAUAAGCAAAAGGAAUCAAAGAGGGGGAACGGGAAAAGCAACUAGUUAAGUUAAACCAUGGCCUUUAAAAAAAGAAAAGAAAAAGGAUUUUGAAAUCCCCGAAAUUCUCCACUGUGAGCACCAGCAUGAGGGAUCAGUCUUCGUUUCCAAAAUCGUGUCUCUCUUUCUGUUCAUUAGCUGCUUUGUUUUUACGGAGUGUAUACGUGAAAUGUGUAAAUAUCACCCCUCAGAAAGCGCAGGGAGGAAAGAAAGCAGAUAUAGUUGUGUAUAAAUCUCUGUCUUGUAGUAAUCACCCAAAACACAGUGGCGGCAGAGGAGGUCAAGCGAUCACGAUGGUGGCAAGAGCUGGUCCAAGGUCAAGCGCAGUAGCCAGCAGUGGGUGGGUGAAUCCACAGGGGUUCAAACCUCAGCCCCAUCCACCCACCCUCUCAGCAACAAAGAGCUGCAAAAAGGGUCCCCCCAGAGAAGAAAGCUGUAUUCAAAGAAACCGUGCCCUUUAUUCCUAAAUGCACGUUGAGAGUAUUGCUCGGGGUCUAUCUAUGCUAAGACCUUGUUCCGGUUUUGUAAUAACUGCUCUGCUUCCCUUGCAAGGAAACCUGGGGAUUAGAAUUUGGUGUGGGUCUUAGGAGUUAGAGAUCCCCGUUGGAAAGGCCAUGUGGCACAGUGGUUAGAGCGCUGGCCUUCAGUUGGGGGGACCUAGGGACAAACGCACACUCAGCCAUGGAGCUUACAGCAUGACGUGUGUCCAGCUACACUCUAAUCCGGGGGGCUCCCAACUUUGGGUUGCUGGAGUACAACAGCAACAUCUGUACCUGAAUCCAAGAGUAGGUCUUCCCCAAGUUCUGUGAUGUUAGAAAUUGGGGGGUCCAUCUUAAAUUCAGAGUCCUCUUCCUUUCAGGUAAAUGCAGGUAUAACCUGCCUUUGGUCUCUCGUUUUUAAGGAAGUGGUCUUAAACUCGGAGUCCUCUUCUGUUCAGGUAAAUACAGUAGUGCUUUAUUUAUAUGGCCGCCCCGUAGCAAAUUGUUCUCUGGGUGGCUGACAAAUGCCCAGGCACAACCAUCAAUCGAAGGCCAUUGUGCCUGGGUGUGAUAAGGGUUGUCCUGCAACAUCUGGGGACGGUCCAGGGCUGGGAAUGCCUGGCCUAAUUUAUUCAGACUCCAGUCUAAGUUUCCUUGGGAGAAUGUCCAGCUCAAAAGACGAUAUAAAAGGUGUGCCCAAUCUGGGCCCCUGGUUCGCUGUUUUUCACCGCCACUGCCAAGUUUAGUGAUGGCUCCAUUUUCCUCCCAGAAAUCCCCUGGGGACAGCAUUAUGUGAUGACAGUGUAUCAUUCCCAGGGGAUUUAUGGGAGUGGGGGCUGUUUGCUCCCCCGAAAAUGAGCUGAAAAGCCUCCUGCGAGAUUUGCCACCGCCCGUCGAGAAGCAAAAUUGGGGAGUGGGAUUUUGUCUCAGCACUUACGCCUACCUCACAGGGUUGUUGCAAAGGAUGUGGGGAACCUCUGUAUGCAACCCUGAGCUCCUUGAAGGAAGGAUGGGAUACCUAAUCUUAGCCCUAUCCAGAGAUUAUGUUGUACGCAUGUACAGAUGUCUGUACACCUGUAUGUAUUUUUGUGUGAAUGACAGUAACUGCAUUCGUUUUAAAAAAUGGACAUUCAUUUAAAAAAUGGGUACAGGCCCCAUGAAAUGCAGGAUACAGAUAGAAAGCAUCCUGAUGUACCGUGAUCAACGUAAUGUGUGAAUCACUGUGCCUGUAUACAGAUUUGUACCUGUGUGCAUGAUACACUGGUUGACCAUAACAUCUGGAUAGGGCUAUUAUAACUCUUCAGACUACACUUCCCAAGGUUUCCUGGGCCAGGGAAAGUCCAUUAAGCCAGCUGACGGUCAUAGCGUACAUAUGCCCUUUCUGAUCUCAACGCUAUUUGUUUCAUAACCCCAAGCUUCAAACCACGCAUUUGGCACCCUGCCACGCUGACCUCUCUUUCCACCUCUCCCUCUGCCAGAAGGCCCUGAAAGAGGACCAGUGACCUUGUUAGCGUGGUCCAAGAGGGCAUAAGAGAGUCUCAAUUUCUCUCUGCCGCUUCAAUGCCACUGGAGUCCCAGCCACCUUGCCAGCCACAUCGUGUGUUGCUUAGUUUACACUGAAUAGCUAUGAAACAAAAGAAAACAAAAAAUGUACGUUGGUUGUUGUACAUUGAUGACCUCAUAACAAUGCGUCUUCUUCAGGGCGACCUCAUCCAGGAACAGCUUGUGUGUAUUGAGAUGAUCUCUCUUUGCCAGAGAAGUCCAGUCUCCGGUUUGAAUCAAGGACUGUUGCCAAAGCAAAACACGUCAUGUUUAGACUAGCAUUCACCUCCAAAUCCCCAGGGCUGUGUGAACCUGCUAUUAAUUUAAUAUCAUGUUAUUGUGAUACUGUAAACAAAUAUUUGUCACUGCUUCCUUUGAUGAAAAGGGAAAAUGUUGUGCCAUUUGAUUAGUAAGAUUAUGGUAGUCUUCCGGGUAGAGAAUCUUCCUUUCUUUUUUGAUAUAUGGAAAUGUGAUGGCUUAAUCCAGUUGGAGAUCCCAUUGGGUUGAGACAACUGAUGAUGGAUGUGAACCUCUAAAGAUUAUUAUUGUUGUUGUUGUUAUAUUAUUAUUAAUUUUUAGAUGGGUAGAUUUUCCUCUCUUUUGGGAUUUCUUUAAACUUUUAAAAAUUCCGUAGCAAAGUAGCCACAGAAAUUUCUGACCAGCAGAACCUCACAAGAGGAAUGAUGUUAUCUAGGUGUAUCCUUGUUUUUGCAAACAAGACAGUAUUUUUAAAAAAGUUUUGAUUUCCUUGCAGAGUAUAGAGAAUUCCUUACAUAGCAGCCAUCUUGCUGGCUUCCACCUCCAAUCCAAUACUGAGCAAAAUGGUGCCAAUUUGGGGCGAAAACUGACCUGAAGUCAGAUAUUCCUCCAGUAGUAGUGGAGGUUCAGUCCAGAGAAUUGCUCCCUUUGGAGGCACAUGAAAUUCCUUUUAGAGGCACGUGAAACCUCUGUGCAUGUGGGUCAAGCCUUCCAUCUAGUUCCAUAGAGAGUAGAGUUGGCCAUGUGCAGGAAUGCAUGGGUGGGCCUUCCUUUUGAGCGAAAAUGGCCACUCUUCAGGCUGAAAUCUUGGACCCCAAAAUAAGGUUCCAAAACUAGCUGUGCAAAUUUCGGAGGAGGUCCUCCCACAUGCUGCCAGAUUCUGCAUGAAAAAGGACCCUCACUUAGAAGGGGCGGGGGGAAUGUCCCAGUUCUUGUUUAUUGGCAAAAGAAAAGGUAACACUGCAGUAUCAAGCUCACUUUCUGCCCUCUGACCACACUCCUAUGGCGGUGGAAGUCUAAUCUGAAGCACGCCAGCAUAUUUCUCCAGCCAUUCCUGGUUACAGGGAGAGGGUGCUGUCACAGGGGCAGAGCUCUGACACUGUCCACUGGGAGGGCCCUGUUCCAAUUUCUCCUUGGCCAGGCCAUUUCCUUACUCUUGGUUCUUCCUCCUAUAUGAUUGAUCAUCCUGGGCUACCUCAUAGGCUGAUACAAGGAGUCCUGAGUCCAGCGUUUGUGAAGCACAUGGACAGGUACCAUGCUAUUAUUGCUCAUCUCGUUAUCAUUAUUCUCAUUUUCUACAAGCUUCCGCUUGCCUCCUAUAUAUAGUGCAUAUGGCCGAUUCUUGCAGAUUAGGUAACCAGAUUCACCAGAGCUGGUUGCUACCUCAGGGAGAGAAAAACAAACUUGCUUUUGGCUACGAUUCACUGGGAAUAUCUGCUGAGUAAAACUCCUGUGCGUUUCAGUGGUCCAGCGGCAUAAUCCAUCUAAAAGUCAGGAUGUAACUUGUGUUUACACGGAACUAAGUUCCAUUACAUUCAAUGGAGCUUCCUCGAAUGGCCAUAGGAUUGCCAUCAAAGUCCAAGCGAAAUCCAGGGGCCAGGUGGCCCAUGUCUUUCUUUAACUGGAUUGGAGCUUAUGGGCUUCAGUUCAACAGGGAUUAGUAGUUACUCAAUGCUGUGACAGGGUUUUAUCAUCCUAUCAAAUUCAGCCCCCCACCCCCCUGAAUAACAUAAUCUGCUUUAUUCUCUCUCUUCCUUCUUUUGUUCAAGCAACAGUAUUUGUAAAAGUGGUGGCAUUUAUUUAAAAAACAAACACUGACCUGGAGGAUUUCAAAUAGACUGGCAUGAUUUGUACUUUAAGUCAGCAAUAAGGAAAAGGGCAGAAAAGGAAGAUGAUGAUACAUUGUUCUAACCGUAGGCCAGAUCUGUUUGUUUACUUUUUUCAGAAUUCCCUUUAUCUGGUGCUUAGGCAGCCCUUUGGGUCAUGCCUUGAAUCUCUAGAACAUUUCUGUGUGUUACUUUGUAGGUGUCUCAUCCCUGUGACAUGUUUUAUCUUGUAAAUGUUGGAUUCAAAAGUUACCAGGGCCAUCUAGGCCUCUCCCUGCCUGGGAGGGACCAAGAUGGCAGCCUUCGAGAUGGCAGCCACGUUCCAAGGUAUGCAUUUGCAGGAAUCUAUGGUGGCUUUUAAGGGGCAAAAGGGGGCAGGACACAUAACAUACUGCAGUUCCAAGUCCUUUGAUGUCAUAUCUUCUCUUCCUUGGAGGUUCCAUACAUUCAGCCCAUCCAUGGCUGCAUGCAAAGCUGAAAUGACUGCAGUGCAGAGACAAACAUGUUUACAGAAGUUCUGUAAGUUCAGUCUUGACAUUUCUUUACAGCCUCUCAGAUUUCUUCCUGGCAUAAAUGUUAAAUGUUGCCAUCACUACUUAUAUCGCCUGUCCAGAUAAGGUUUCUUCCCAACUCCUUUGCUUCUCUUUCCUCUUGAGAAAUGCCUUUUAAGUCACAGUGGAAUGGGACAAACUUCUAACUUUCCGUUCAGCCCUCACACACACUUAUGGCAGAUAUGCUUCACCCCGCAUUCUCCACAUCACCACUCAAAGAACGAUGGAAACAUUUCUCCAAAGUGGAAUUUGAAGAGCAUUUCAUGUUCUUCCAAGGAGAAACUCUGGAGAGGUUUUUCAGACAGUUUCCUGAGUGCACACAUUAUGGGCACCCAUCAAAGCUGCUCUAAAUUAGUGCAUGAGGUCUCUGUUGCCAUGUGAUGAAGUACAUAGGCACAUGGUUUAAACAAUGGAAUGAGGCACUUUUGCAGCAUCCGAAACCCUGGCGGUUAAAAAAUGGUCUCUUCAGGAACUUGGUUGACCACUACUUGUCUUUGGCUGAGCCCUGCCUCACCCUUAGCCCAGGUGUGGAUAAGGAGAAAUGUGAAUCUUGUAAAAAGUGAGCACAGUUGCUGUUUCCUGACAUUGCUUUGAAAUGGGUUUCUUUGAGUGUAUUACACAUGAGUGUAUAUCUGUAGAACGAAGGAUUUG